GCACGUUUUCUCAAUUUGUUUAUGUUAUUUCGUAUACGAGUAUUUUUCAACAAUUCUUGAAUGCUAAAGAUGGCGCGCCUUUUAUGGUUCGCAAACCAAGUUAUUAUUCAAAGUGCUUCAAUUAUGUGUUAAUGUAUUUAUUUAUUUGCCUAUAAGGGAAGAAUGCAAUGAGACAGCGAGAGGAGAUAAUGCGUGGGCGCACGAAUGCAAAAAAGAAAACCAAAAAGAGGAAUUAAUAUUUAAAUAUGCAUGACGUGCAGUACGAAGGAAGAAGUGCAGAAUGAAAGGUCCUUAAACUCAUUGCGGUAAUAAACCGAAAACAACAACUACAAUUACAACAUGCUUCAUAUCUCUAAAAUGCGAACUCAAGUCCACUUAUUCAACUAUUUCUGAAUGAUAAUUGGAAAUUUACACACGACAGUUUCCCAGGCAACGCAUAAACGCGGUGAGACUGCAAAUAGAGGGAAAUCGCUGUUAAACACAAACACAUUGAUACAAUCAACAUUCAACAUUAGAGGCUUUGAGAAGGCGCAACAAUUAAUAGAGAAACGGAAGAGAAGUGACACAAAAAACAGCAAGCAAAAAACACGAAGAUAAAACAAGAAAAAGACAGCAACUUCAAAUUCAACGGGGAAUGUUAAUUAUCUAUCAAAAAAACAUUUACUUUUUUUGAAGAUUAUCUUUUUUAAAUGUUGGCCGCAGCUACGUCUCAUACGGUUUAUCAGUUGAGCCCAAUUUUCGAUGACCCGUUCGAGCAUUUCGACUGGUAACUGGCGAUUGACACGCGCGAUGUUCUGCUCCAAGGCCAAAAUCGAAGUGGGAUUGUCCGCAUAGACUUAAGACUCUCCACAUCCCCACAGGAAAAAGUCUAACGGUGUGACAUCACAUGAUCUUGGUGGCCAAUCGACCGGCCCCACACAUGAAAUUAUCUGCUCAUCUACGGAACAGACGUAGAUUUUAAUCCAGCCAAGGACUGUCAACUCGGCAGAAUUCCGCUAAAAUACUUCAGGGAUGAUUUCCGGCACUACGGUAACAACCUUUAUUGGACUUAUGAGAAAAGAUGGGUAGUUGUGAGGAAGAUUUUUUUUUUUUAAUCUUUCUCGCCCACUCUGAAAAUAGUGUUUCGAGAAUAACGCAUUAAAAGUUUUGCGGAUCAACUUAAAAUUUUUGGAGUGCUUGCGUGUUAAUGUUCAAGUUUGUUGUCAUCGCAGUCAUCUGAAGCGAGGCUCAGGGAACUUGCUGUGGGGUGGAAUGUGGACUGAGGUUUAGAUGAGUGAGAUUCAUUGGGCAUGCAAAGAGUUAGUUAGAGUCAUGCUGGGAUUCAUUGAACGCAGAACAUAGUAUAUUUGGCACAUCUGAAUAAAUUCUAGAUGGGUAGAAGCUUAGCGUACUACAAUAUACAGAACAAAGUGCGUGCACUUGGGAUUCAUUCCAUUCAAUUUAUGAAGAACCGACUAUCAUAGGAACGCCACCAAAUAUAAGACCACCCGGCCAAAAGCCUUUAAAAUAUUUAAAUAUACAUACGGUAUCGCAAUUAAAAAAGAGUAUAUAAGUAUAUCCAAACUAACUGUUAUCUUUUGGCAUAUAUCAAAUAACCUUCUCAGAGAACAAAAAUUACAUACACCAAUGUGCGUAUGUACAUAUGUAAGGGUGUACAUUCAUGUGCAUUUACACCACAAAAUAGCUGCAUUUAUAGGCACAUCACGCACUAGGCAAUGUCGGUUUAAUCAAUGCAAACACAUAAAAGGAGAAUAGAGAAAAGGUAUCCUAAUACAAACAUACAUACAUAUGUACUAUAUAUUUAGCUAUAUUACUCCUACAACUUAAGCAUAAGUUUCGCGUUGCAUACGUAAUUUCAACAUAAAAAUGGAAGAGAGUGCAAAGUAGGGGUUUUCGCCAUAUGAAUAGAAAAUCGUUACCCACAUUGAGAAUGGUUGCACAUCCUUUCAUCUUUUCAAAAACUUUUGUAAGCAGGAUUAAUAGUCAACCCUUAAAAAGAAUUCACCACAGUGUUAUAAAAAUUUAGAAACAACAAAAUGAACUCUCAGAAUAUACGCAAAACGUGGGGUGGAGCAUGCGCCUUGCCGAAGAAACUAAGUAAUGCGAAAACAAGGAAAUCGAAAAUACAUUCAUUUAUAUGUACAUAUGUAUGUACAUGUGUAAUAAAUGCAUAUUGACGUGUAUAUAAAACACGUUGGAAAAAAGAGGCCAAAUAAGUAAUAAUAAGGGUCGAGCUCCUUGCUGGUCAGACAAACUUGCAAUAAACUUGAGUGGGAUUGAAAUUAUUAGUUCUUUACUAUAGUCUGUAUGUAUUUAGGUAUCUGCUACGUACCUAUAUGUACAGUAAGUACAUUUGUACAUAUUUUUAUUAUUACCAAAGCGGAAGAGAAGUAGGCAUAGCGCAUUAACAGCUAUGCGCACGAAGAAUGCGUGCAAACAGGAAAGUAAUUAGGGUAGUAAAGUUUAUUGAAUGCGAUGUUGAGUCAUAAAAUGUUAGGCAGUGCAUAGGAUAUAGGCAUAAGGAAAUCCCAAGAGAUUUUUUGCACAAGUAAAUAUGUGCAUAUAAAUAAAUAAACACGCACAUAUGUAUUUACAUACAGAUCUACUUUUUUAGAUCAUUUUAAUUAAAAACCAUAUGCAGAACUCGCAGACAACUUGUCUAUAAUAACACAGCGCUCAGAUGCUCCUACCAAAGAAUCGUUCAAACGAAAACUAUAACAUUUUGUUUCAGUGCUUUGCGUUGUAUUUUAUUUAUAGCCGGCACUCUAAUACAAAGCAUCAAAACAAAUACGAAAAUGUCGCUGAACUAAUAAAAUGGAAUUGCUACACCCACCCGUCAAUCGCUGCUCCGGCCAGUUGGAACAACAAAUGACAUCAACACAGCCGGAAUACAUGUGCUGUUUUGGCUGCAAGAAAUUAUACAAAAUGCUUAAAGAGGCGCAAAGCAAUAAUGAUGUUAUAAUAUAUUUAUGCAGUUUUGUUGCAGUCAAUUGGGAGCAAUAUUUCUUCAAUAUAUUUCACUUCAAAAACGUUUUGAAAUACAUAACCUGAUUAAUGGUUUUUAAAGCUAGUUUCAUAGGAAUGAAAAAUUGUAGAAUUAUUUAUGACAUUCGUUGUGCAGACACAAAUGAAUAUGUUUGUACAUAUGUAUGUAAUAGAGCCAUUUUACAAAUUUUUGAUUAGAAAAUACUGUGAACAAAUUAAUUUACGAAAUGGUCUUAUUUAUCGUAAGCUUUAGGAUAGUUGUUAUUUGAUUAUAAGGAUGUACUGUUAUUGAAAAUAUUUAAAGAAAUAUAUAUCUAUAUAUUUAUGUACCUAAAUGCCGACUCUUUUAAUACAAGAUUAUAUAUGUAAGAAAAUUGACCAACCUACAUACUACAGAAAAACGCAAUGAACUAUAACGUUAAAAUUAACAGCAAUUGAUGUGACAAAAACUGGUUUUCUUGCUUGACUCAUUUUCGAGUCAUUGCCUAAAGAAACAUAUUUAUUUAAGCAACCAAACAUUUAAAAGUUCACACCAAAUAAAUAUGCACAAAGCUUAAAUCUAUAUAUAAACUCAUACAUGUAUAUGUACAGUUAUGGACA